rnacentral:lncRNA from 1 species
UAAGGCACAUAAUUUUCAAAAGAGAGGUCCACAUAGCAAGAAGACAAUGAAGAAUUCGGUGGAGAUAAGAUGCCUUGCUACCUAACAAAGAAAGUGGAAGACACAUGUCCAAGAUAAGAUUCCAAACUCUCCUAUAAAAGGGGACAUGCAGGAAGAAGGAAGAUAUCUCGAAAAAAAUCUAUCUCUAUUCUCUGAGAACACAUUAGAGAAAAUUCUUUUGUAAUCUGAUUACACUACUUGUAUUCAGAAAAAUAUUAGAUAGCUUGAAGAUAGGAAAGCGUGUAAUAAGGUAAUCACUUAUGG